CCUACGGGCGGCAGCAGUGAGGAAUAUUGGUCAAUGGACGAGAGUCUGAACCAGCCAAGUAGCGUGAAGGAUGACUGCCUAUGGGUUGUAAAAUUCUUUUAUAUGGGAAUAAAACGUUCCACGUGUGGGAUUUUGUAUGUACCAUAUGAAUAGGGAUCGGCUAACUCCGUGCCAGCAGCCGCGGUAAUACGGGGGAUCCGAGCGUUAUCCGGAUUUAUUGGGGUUAAAGGUGGCGUAAGUGGAUUUUUAAGUCAGGUGUGAAAGUUUGCGGCUCAACCGGAAAAGUGCAGUUGAAACUGGGAGUCUUGAGUACAGGAGAGGUGGGCGGAAUUCGUGGUGUAGCGGUGAAAUGCUUAGAUAUCACGAAGAACUCCGAUUGCGAAGGCAGUUCACUGGACUGCAACUGACACUGAGGCUCGAAAGUGUGGGUAUCAAACAGGAUUAGAUACCCGAGUAGUC
rnacentral:rRNA from 1 species